rnacentral:rRNA from 1 species
AACGAACGCUGGCGGCAGGCUUAACACAUGCGAGUCGAACGAUGAAGCCGGAGCUUGCUCUGGUGAAUUAGUGGCGAACGGGUGAGUAACACGUGAGUAACCUGCCCUUGACUCUGGGAUAACUGCUAGAAAUGGUAGCUAAUACCGGAUACGACCCUCGGAGGCAUCUUCAGGGGGUGGAAAGAAUUUCGGUCAAGGAUGGCCUCGCGGCCUAUCAGCUAGUUGGUGAGGUAAUGGCUCACCAAGGCGACGACGGGUAGCCGGCCUGAGAGGGUGACCGGCCACACUGGGACUGAGACACGGCCCAGACUCCUACGGGAGGCAGCAGUGGGGAAUAUUGCACAAUGGGCGCAAGCCUGAUGCAGCAACGCCGCGUGAGGGAUGACGGCCUUCGGGUUGUAAACCUCUUUUAGCAGGGAAGAAGCGAAAGUGACGGUACCUGCAGAAAAAGCACCGGCUAACUACGUGCCAGCAGCCGCGGUAA